UAUCUCUUAUACUAAUUUUCUUUCUCUUUAUAUUCUCCCUACCUCUUAACAAAUCUUACAUAAAAAUAGUGUCCUUCCUUUUCUCAUUUGCAAACCCAACAAUCAACAUAGCUAUUCAAUUCCUUGCCCAUCAGUAGAAAUUCUCAACUAUUCAAUUUUUCUAUUCAGAAUUGUAAUUCUCAAAGCACCGUCAUUCACUCUGCGAUUGGCUACCCACCGCCGCAACUGGUUGCUCACAGCAGCUCACUGUCGCAACUGGUCGCUUACCGCUACUUACCCUGCAAUCGGCCACUCACCGCCGCAAUUGGCCGGUCACCCAUCAUUGCUUCCUCCAUUUUUCCUUAAAAUGAGUGGUCUUAUAAUCAUUUCUUCCAUGGAGUAUUUUUAUUGCUGUUGGAUUGGGAGGAACACAGCUCAAACUAAUUACUCCUAUUAGUCUAAAUGUCUCCUCAGUACAAGUUUGGAAAAUGGGAUACAAGGAACAAGAGGGGAGAAUGGAAAUAAAUUAUAUCAGUGAUCAUGAAGUUGCGUGUAAGGAAGAAGCACACAUAGAUCACAAUGAGAAAGAAUAAUAACAAAUUUAGUUUCAAACAAUAAUUUAUAUGUUUAUUUGGA